UUAUACCCUCCAGUGAGCAACACCUGAUCCAGAAAUCAGGCUCUAGCAAUGUACAGUGCAGAGAAAGCAUGCUUGAAUGAAUGCCUAGGACCUGGCUGAUGCAUACCUCACAGCUAAUCUGGUUACGCGGGGUUUAUUUCACAGUCGGAAGUUCUCGCGCUGGCGGAGAGUCCUGCUGGGGUUUUCUGAGCACACGGCAGAAUUAAUGAAUGAGCGAAUGCAGCUUGCCAGCCCAGAUUUAAAUUGCUUACUAGAUCAAAAUCUGUUCAUUUUCUCUGUCUUUAUUUCCAGCCUCUCUGUCUUUUAUUUAUUAAUUUAUUUGAGGAAACAGAUAAAGAGCACAGAAUGUGCCUGCGGACACCAUCAAAGCAGCAAAUGCAGAUAAAGGGCUGUUUUCCAGGCUGGCCUGAGCCCUGGCACCAGGCUUUGAGCCACGGUCCAGGGCAGGGAGGUCCCUGGCAGGGGCUGGUUGGUGGCUGGUGCUGUUGAUGUAAAGCCCCCAGCCUUUACAUCCCUGCUGCCCUGAGCCUCUCACUGGGCCCCAGCCACCCUUUUCCACAGCCCCUGGGAAGAGGACAGCAUUGAAGCAGUGAAGCCCUGCUUUGAAAAAGCAACACAUAAACCCGGGCUGCUUUGCAGGAAGGGUCACGUUUUUUCUAUCUUUCAGAUCCACGCUGCCUUUGGUAUUAGCCAGUUGUCGGGCUUUAAUGGGGACUCGCUAACAGGAUAUCUGGAAUAUUUGGAUUUAUUUGGCCACUGGGCAGACCUCCAGCCUGCCGUUUUGACUGCGGCGUUCGUAUUUUAAUAGGAGUUUUAAGAAGGCUUAGCUAGGGGUAUUUAAGGUAGUCCCUGAAUUUCAUGCAGACUUUUCAGCUCCGACGGAAAACACCGCGCCAAGGAGAUGCGGCGGCAGUUUUUACGAAGCAGAGGGAUCUAUAAAGAUGCCACUGUCACUGCCCUCCCGAAGACCCUUUCGGAACAGCGAAUCUCCCCUCGCACCGCGGCGGCUCCUCUCGCAUGCCCGAGUCCGGAGCCCUUAACUCCGCGCCCAGCCGCGCUGCGCAGGGCCGGGAUGCAGCAGCGCUCCGCGGCAGGAGCGGGGCUCCGGGAAGGGAGGGAUGGAUGCUCGCCCCCAUCGCUCCCUCCCCAGCCCCUGCUUCGCCGGGCCGGGCAUCUCCCUGCGAGCCCCGGCGCUGGAUGUGCUGCAGGGCCGGCGUUUGGCUGCUCCGAGCUCCCAGAGCCUGAGGCGCCUCCCCGGACUGCGCUCUCGGAGCCAAGGGGAAAGGAGACAAAUGUCGCUCAUUCAAGGUGAAGGGCAGUGCUGGCAUGAUGGAAAAGCAGCCUGUGCUCUCUGCCAAAGACUGGAGACCUUCCUGAAGAUUCACUGCUCUCCGGUUUUCUUUAUGCUCUUAUUUUAGAGCUUAUGGAAAGAAGAGGCUGAUAAUCAAGAGAGAGAUUCUGCCAAUAUAUCCAGGUAUCCUGAGCUGCACUGCUGCUGCUCUUCCUCACUUUCCUCUCUCCCUGUGCUGCCAACACAGACUGAGCAGGGAUGGAUUGCUCUGCUGCCUGGUGCAGUGCAGUCGUGCAGGCAUCUGCUACUGCAAUAUUGACCAGGUCUGCUUUCCUCAGCUAGAGACUGCACUGAGAAUUACCUCCAGGUCUCCAGAGAUGCAAACCCAGUGUGCAAAGCACUCUGCCUGCCGCUGAUUUAACCUGCCCGUUUGGAUCCCAGCCCCUGAGGAUGAUGAGGCACUUUUCCUCCACACCAUCCCAAAAGGAGCUGAAGAACUUCAGAAAUGAAAAUUUGCUUUGAAGGUGUCCCUGUGGUCACCUCACUUCUCUGGGAGGGAGGCAGUUUGGCAACUGAAAACCAAACUGGGGAGCAGAGCCAAGCUCCCCAAAAAUAGUCUGGAAGAAACUAAAGCAAGGAGGAAGAUUUAAAAAGGCUCCUCAGAGCCCAGCACAUCAGUUGUUCUGCUGGAGGUUUUUUCAAGUCUCCCCUGUUGGUGUGAGGCCCUAUACAGCCAAAAAACUGCAAGCAGCUGCCCUCCUUUCUCUCCUGCUUCUCCCCACGGGGCAGGUGGAGGGGCACACACCGUGAAGAAGGCAAGCUCAAGGCCUCACCAUAAUCUUGAGCUGCUCUGCCCAGUGUGCCCACACCCACACACCUCUUCAACAGCAACCACCUACCCCAGAGAAGGUGUGAUCUCAACACAUUGCAUGGAUCCAUGCAGAAGGAUGGGAACACGAGGGUGAAUAUCAAGGCUUGAGAAUAUAUCAAGUUUGAGUAAAGGCUUGCCUGCGUGAUGGAAUGUUCAUGGAGUGGCACACUGAUGACGGAGGAAAGAUGCAAAAGGCAGCCCACCAUAACUUUGUGCUACCAAGCAUCCCUUGAAAUGCUAAUUAAAACGAGUGGAGGGGGAGGAGCCUGCUAGCAGGAUCACAGCCUUGCUUGGAUUGAGUAACAAAUGUGUAGUAGGCAUCCGUGUUUUCCUCUACAUGUGUCUUCCAAGCUGAGUUGGCUGGAAAUGUUGCAGUUUUGUGAAACCCACACAGAGUAGCAUGCAAACACAGACUAGAUAGAGAGGCAAGGUCUAGUCAUGAAGCUGGAAUAGAAAAAGCCACGACAGUCUUCGGCAAAUAAAUAAGUAACUGCCCGAAAUGAGGGCUAAUUAACUUGCAAUAAACCAACUUAACCACUUAGGGGCAGCGUUAACACAGAGUUAACAUGCAAAACAAACCUGUACUUUCUCACCUGGUUAAUUUAACGUGCUCCGUGAAUAUUCAUAGUGUGUGGAAUCCUGCUACAUCAACACAGCAAACGGUGCGGUCUGUCAAAACCGAACGCGUGGCAAGAGGAGUAACUCAGUGGCGGCUCGCACGGCGCUGACUUUGAUCAGGUCCUGCUCCUAAACACAUUCAGAGAGGAGGCAGGACUCUGCUGCUUUCCCUCCCUCGGGGUCACAGAGUGUGCUCUGUACAAAGAUAAAAACCCAAAAAAAAAAAAAAAAAAAAAAGAGACAGAAAAGAGCUUCACUUAAAAUAAACAUUAAAAAAUCAAACAGAAAAAAAAAGGUGUCUUUGAGAAAUGCUGCUCUUGCAUUCAAGAGCUGAACUCUCCAUUUUAUCUCUGUGGCCACAUUCAGAGUCACUUUGCUCUCAGACAAUACGUUUCUUUCUCUACAUUGCAUGCAAAAAGGUCCCAGUUCCUCGAAUGCCUCUGAAACAUUUCCCUGCAUAAAAUGGAGCCCAGACCUGUUUCAGGAUGGCCAGCGCUGCCCGGGGAGAUGCAGUCCCACAGCUCCUGGAAGGAAGGAGAAUGACGGGGCUGAGUCGUCAUGCAUUAUGCUGAAUAUUUACCCCUCAUGCAUGCUAUUUUAUUUUAAAUCUAGCGUGUAAUAUGCUUUGCAUCUAGCGUGUUGCUCUUGUGUGUUUUUCCCUUGCCCUGCCUGUCUCUUGCUGGCAGCUGCCAUCGUGAAACAAAAGGCAGCUGCCAGUUUGAGUGAACAUCUCUCUUUCUCACUCACUUUUUUUGCCUCUUGCUCUCAGAGCUGAUGCAAAACCACUUCACAGACUGGGUGGCAGGCACUGAUGCAAGGGGGGUUUGCUGCCCUUGGGAUGCUUGAGCAUGCAGUGCCUCUGAGACUCGCUGCCAGAGCCCAGAGCUGUGUUCAAGCUCUUGAACCUGGCUCAGCAGUAGCCAGGAGACAAGCAGCUGUCUCUCUGCCAGCACACCAGCUCGAGCUAUCUCCAUUGCAGCAAUUGCCCAUUUCACAGGAUUUGAUUAUGCUGCUUUUGGCAAAGGUGAUGGUUUAUUAAAUACCACUUUGGUCUUCUGCUCCAAGAUGUGUAAUCAAAGGCAGGGAUCUCUUGCUCCAAACCAAUGGUGUUCCUACAUCAUCUGAAAAAAGUCUGAAACAAGCAGGAUUGAACUGAAACAGCACUUGGAAGAAUAAAUUUUCCUAUGUCAAAUUAAAGUAACAUGGGGAGAAAGCAGGAUGAGAUGCCAGGACCCAGACCCUGAGGCCAGCUGUGGGCCUUGGAUGGUGCAGUCCUUUGGCCAGUGAUUCUGUGCAGAGUGAGAAGCUGCUGUGUGUGAGAGCCUCCAAAACUCAACCAGGGUCUUUAUUUCUUGGCUCCUCCUCUGACUCUAUAACUCCAUGUUCUAGGAGACUCUGGAGACCAUCAGAGGGGCCAGUUCAGCUGUUUUUUCCAGAGCUGGAAAGAGAUAUUUUUGCUUUUCUUAAGAGCCUUUCCCCUGAGCUAUAAUGAAAACAUGCUUUGGGAAAACAAGCUGAACUCUUGACUGCUGUAAAUAGCCAUGGGCUGGGUCACGCCUCUGGGAAGGGACUGUGUCCUGCUGGGAGAGGAGCAGGGAUGAACUGAGUUUGCUGGAGCUGUGGUCACUGCCACCAGCUCUGUAUUUUAUCUCUCUGGGCAUGGUGAGGGGUCUGGGGAAGAGGGUGAGGCACAACAGGCAGGGAGGUUGUAGGAAAUCAAGCAGGAUUCCAAAUGAUAGGGUAAAAUGAAAAAGCUGAAUAAAUGCAAGCCUCAGUUCCAAUCAGGAAAGUUAGGAAAUGAGAUCUGAAACACCCUCCUGGGAGUCUCGUGUGUGCUGAAGAAGCAUACUGAAAUAAAUCCUCAUGCAAGCUGUAUCACUCUGAUUGUCAGAGAAACUGAGCCCUCGCUCCUUUCCUUUGUGACAGUUUUCUUUCAGACAGCUCCUGGGUUUUUUUUGUUGUGUGGCUUUUUCUUUUUGCCUUUUUUUCUUUUUUCUUUCUUUUUUUUUUUUUUUUUUUUUUUAAUAAUAGGAAUGGGUAUUCUCAUGUCACUCAUUGUAAGCUUCUUUGUGGAAAUUAUGGCAAUAUGGACUUGUUCAUAGGGACAGUUUGGAGAGAUCCUGGUUUGUCUGAUUUCCUGACAUUGUUUUCCUAAAGCACAGAAUAAAGACAGGAAAAGAAACUGCAGAGGACAGGUCUGGAGCUCCCUGAGGAGCUGUCAGGGCAGGUGAGAAAUCACAAGUGCAGGUGAGAAGGUUGUGAUUUUUGUAAAUGAACAGUAAGCUAUACUUCCCAAAUGAAGAUGAUUUCCUCUAGAUUAAGCAGGAUUGCAAAUAAACAAAGAAUAAAAAUUUAUGUCCAUGAGCAAAA